CAGCACAAAUUUGAAAAAGCUCAGGAUCUUCCCAAAGAUAAUACUUGAUUUGAGCAAAGAAUCGAUCCUUUUCAUUUUUAGACCAACCAUUAGGAAUUUGUCCAACUGCUAAGUAAUUCAUAAUAUCUGCAAACCAAGGAGCCUUUGUAUGUGAAACUAUCAGAAGUUGUUCAUCUGAAAAAGAUUUUUCAAUUGAUGCAGGUUCACAAUCUUUAACUAAGAUCCUUGAUAGGUGGUCUGCUACAAUAUUUUCAGAUCCCUUCUUAUCUCG
rnacentral:lncRNA from 1 species